rnacentral:rRNA from 1 species
UACAGAGGGUGCGAGCGUAAUCGGAAUUACUGGGCGUAAAGCGUGCGUAGACGGUAGCGUAAGUCAGAUGUGAAAGCCCCGGGCUCAACCUGGGAGUUGCAUUUGAGACUGCUCUGCUCGGGUGCGGAAGAGGGAAGCGGAAUUUCCGGUGUAGCGGUGAAAUGCGUAGAUAUCGGAAGGAACACCAGUGGCGAAAGCGGCUCCUGGUCC